AACGAACGCUGGCGGCAGGCCUAACACAUGCAAGUCGAACGCCCUAGCAAUGGGGAGUGGCAGACGGGUGAGUAACACGUGGGAACCUUCCCUAUACUACGGAAUAGCCCAGGGAAACUUGGAGUAAUACCGUAUACGCCCGAGAGGGGAAAGAUUUAUCGGUAUAGGAUGGGCCCGCGUCGGAUUAGCUAGUUGGUGAGGUAAUGGCUCACCAAGGCGACGAUCCGUAGCUGGUUUGAGAGAACGACCAGCCACACUGGGACUGAGACACGGCCCAGACUCCUACGUGAGGCAGCAGUGGGGAAUAUUGGACAAUGGGCGCAAGCCUGAUCCAGCCAUGCCGCGUGAGUGAUGAAGGCCUUAGGGUUGUAAAGCUCUUUUGCCGGGGACGAUAAUGACGGUACCCGGAGAAUAAGUCCCGGCUAACUUCGUGCCAGCAGCCGCGGUAA
rnacentral:rRNA from 1 species